rnacentral:rRNA from 1 species
UAGUAUUAGUUAUGUUCUUGAAACUUAAAGAAUUUGGCGGUAUCUCAUUCCAUCCAGAGGAAUCUGUCUCGUUAUCGAUAGUCCACGUUGGACCUUACUUAGUUGUUAUAUGGUUUGUAUACCGCCGUUUAUUGAUUAUCUUUUUAGGGUUUAUUUAAUUUUCUGGUUUCUUUAUUUUGAUUUAUUUCAGGUCAAGGUGCAGCUUGUUUCUAAGUGAAUGAUGGAUUACAUUGUUAUUUGUUUUAUGGAUUAUUGAUUUUAAUAUUGGUAUGAAAUUGGAUUUGGUUGUAAUUAUUUGUAGACUGUUAUUUUGAUAAUUGGUUCUGGGAUAUGCACACAUCGCCCGUCGCUCUCGUUUAUUGUUAAUGAGAUAAGUCGUAACAUAGU